UUGUGGAGGAGGACGCCGAAGGUGGGGCUAAUGACUGGGGUGAAGUCGUAACAAGGUAGCCGUACCGGAAGGUGCGGCUGGAUCACCUCCUAACAGGGAGACAACAAAAUGUUUAAUAUUAUUAUUUUGUCACCUUAGGUCGAUCGGUAUCUCACGUUCUUAAUUUAUUAAGAAUUUCAUUUCCUAAGUUUUUCUAGGUCACACCCAUUAUUUUUUCCUGGGCCAUUAGCUCAGGUGGUUAGAGCGCACCCCUGAUAAGGGUGAGGUCCCUGGUUCAAGUCCAGGAUGGCCCAUAUCUCUAUGUUGGGGGUAUAGCUCAGUUGGUAGAGCGCCUGCUUUGCAAGCAGGAUGUCAGCGGUUCGAGUCCGCUUACCUCCACUGAUUACCACCUCUUCCAUAAAAUGUAGAAAGGAAAAUUUUUUGAGUUGUGAUCAUAAUUCUGAACGAAUCUAGCUUCCUAAUGAAAUCAUUAAGAUGCUGGACUCAUUGAAUUAAUUUCAUUGUUUUCAGAGAACCUUGACAACUGCAUAGAUUGUUUUUAAAGACAAUAAGCAUCUUUUAUGAUGCAGAUUUAUUAUUUGUGCAAAUGCAUUAAUAACAAUUCUAUUAAGCUGAUGCUUCAAUUUUGAAGUUAUUGGUCAAGCUACAA
rnacentral:misc_RNA from 1 species